rnacentral:rRNA from 1 species
UACGUAGGGUGCAAGCGUUGUCCGGAAUUAUUGGGCGUAAAGAGCUCGUAGGCGGUCUGUCGCGUCGGCUGUGAAAUCCCGAGGCUCAACCUCGGGUCUGCAGUCGAUACGGGCAAACUAGAGUAUUGCAGGGGAGACUGGAAUUCCUGGUGUAGCGGUGAAAUGCGCAGAUAUCAGGAGGAACACCGGUGGCGAAGGCGGGUCUCUGGGCAGUAACUGACGCUGAGGAGCGAAAGCGUGGGGGAGCGAACAGG